CAUACCGGAUGUGCCCGCAAGGGGAAAGGAAGCUUCGGCCUCCGCAUCGAGAUGGGCCCGCGGCCCAUUAGCUUGUUGGUGAGGUAAGGGCUCACCAAGGCUUCNAUGGGUAGCUGGUCUGAAAGGACGAUCAGCCACACUGGGACUGAGACACGGCCCAAACUCCUACGGGAGGCAGCAGUGGGGAAUCUUGCGCAAUGCGCGAAAGCGUGACGCAGCAACGCCGCGUGGGGGAAGAAGGCUUGCGGGUUGUAAACCCCUUUCAGUUGGGACGAAGCUCUGCCGGUGAAUAGCCGGUUGGAGUGACGGUACCUUCACAAGAAGCACCGGCUAACUACGUGCCAGCAGCCGCGGUAAUACGUAGGGUGCAAGCGUUGUCC
rnacentral:rRNA from 1 species